GCCGGAUGUGGUGGUGCGCACCUGUAAUCCCAGCUACUCAGGAGGCUGAGGCAGGAGAAUCGCUUGAACCCAGGAGGUGGAAGUUGCAGUGAGUCAAGAUCAUGCCACUGCACUCCAGCCUGGGUAACAGAGCAAGACCUUGUCUCAA
rnacentral:sRNA from 1 species